rnacentral:rRNA from 1 species
GUAACAAGGUCUCCGUUGGUGAACCAGCGGAGGGAUCAUUACUGAGUUUACGCUCUAUAACCCUUUGUGAACAUACCUAUAACUGUUGCUUCGGCGGGUAGGGUCUCCGCGACCCUCCCGGCCUCCCGCCUCCGGGCGGGUCGGCGCCCGCCGGAGGAUAACCAAACUCUGAUUUAACGACGUUUCUUCUGAGUGGUACAAGCAAAUAAUCAAAACUUUUAACAACGGAUCUCUUGGUUCUGGCAUCGAUGAAGAACGCAGCGAAAUGCGAUAAGUAAUGUGAAUUGCAGAAUUCAGUGAAUCAUCGAAUCUUUGAACGCACAUUGCGCCCGCCAGCAUUCUGGCGGGCAUGCCUGUUCGAGCGUCAUUUCAACCCUCAAGCUCUGCUUGGUGUUGGGGCCCUACAGCUGAUGUAGGCCCUCAAAGGUAGUGGCGGACCCUCCCGGAGCCUCCUUUGCGUAGUAACUUUACGUCUCGCACUGGGAUCCGGAGGGACUCUUGCCGUAAAAC